rnacentral:rRNA from 1 species
GUAGGGAAUAUUGGACAAUGGGGGCAACCCUGAUCCAGCGACGCCGCGUGAGUGAUGAAGGCCUUCGGGUCGUAAAGCUCUGUUGCAGGGGAAGAACACAAUGACGGUACCCUGCUAGAAAGGAUCGGCUAACUUCGUGCCAGCAGCCGCGGUAAGACGAGGGAUCCUAGCGUUGUUCGGAAUUAUUGGGCGUAAAGCGGGUGCAGGUGGCUUGGUAAGUCAGAUGUGAAAGCCUGGGGCUUAACCCCAGAAGUGCAUUUGAUACUGCUGAGCUUGAGUGCUGGAGAGGCUAUUAGAAUUCCUGGUGUAGUGGUGAAAUACGUAGAUAUCAGGAGGAAUACCGGAGGCGAAGGCGGAUAGCUGGCCAGACACUGACACUCAGACCCGAAAGCGUGGGGAUCAAACAGGAUUAGAAACCCCUGUAGUCC